GUGGGGAAUCUUGCGCAAUGCGCGAAAGCGUGACGCAGCAACGCCGCGUGAGGGAAGAAGGCCUUCGGGUUGUAAACCUCUUUCAGGAGGGACGAAGGUUCAGGCGCGAAUAGCGUCCUGGACUGACGGUACCUCCAGAAGAAGCCCCGGCUAACUACGUGCCAGCAGCCGCGGUAAUACGUAGGGGGCUAGCGUUGUCCGGAAUCAUUGGGCGUAAAGAGCGUGUAGGCGGCCUGGUAAGUCCGCUGUAAAAGUCAAAGGCUCAACCUUUGAAUGUCAGUGGAUACUGCCGGGCUAGAGUCCGGAAGAGGCGAGUGGAACUCCUGGUGUAGCGGUGGAAUGCGCAGAUAUCAGGAAGAACACCAACGGCGAAGGCAGCUCGCUAGGACGGUACUGACGCUGAGACGCGAAAGCGUGGGGAGCGAACAGGAUUAGAAACCCUAGUAGUCC
rnacentral:rRNA from 1 species